AGUGAACGCUGGCGGUAGGCCUAACACAUGCAAGUCGAACGGCAGCACAGUAAGAGCUUGCUCUUACGGGUGGCGAGUGGCGGACGGGUGAGGAAUACAUCGGAAUCUACUUUUUCGUGGGGGAUAACGUAGGGAAACUUACGCUAAUACCGCAUACGACCUACGGGUGAAAGCAUGGGAUCUUCGGACCUUGCGCGAUUGAAUGAGCCGAUGUCGGAUUAGCUAGUUGGCGGGGUAAAGGCCCACCAAGGCGACGAUCCGUAGCUGGUCUGAGAGGAUGGUCAGCCACCAUGGAACUGAGACACGGUCCAGACUCCUACGGGAGGCAGCAGUGGGGAAUAUUGGACAAUGGGCGCAAGCCUGAUCCAGCCAUACCGCGUGGGUGAAGAAGGCCUUCGGGUCGUAAAGCCCUUUUGUUGGGAAAGAAAAGCAGCAGGUUAAUACCCCGCUGUUCUGACGGUAACCAAAGAAUAAGCACCGGCUAACUUCGUG
rnacentral:rRNA from 1 species